rnacentral:rRNA from 1 species
CUUUUGAUGGCGACCGGCGCACGGGUGAGUAACACGUAUCCAACCUGCCUCAUACUCGGGGAUAGCCUUUCGAAAGAAAGAUUAAUACCCGAUGUUAUAGUCCUACCGCAUGAUGGGAUUAUUAAAGAAUUUCGGUAUGGGAUGGGGAUGCGUUCCAUUAGUUAGUUGGCGGGGUAACGGCCCACCAAGACAACGAUGGAUAGGGGUUCUGAGAGGAAGGUCCCCCACAUUGGAACUGAGACACGGUCCAAACUCCUACGGGAGGCAGCAG